rnacentral:ncRNA from 1 species
UUGCCUCUAUCAGCAGUUUUGCUGUUUGGGCUGAGAAUUUUCUUCCGAAGGAGAACGACGUCAGGAAGAAAAAGGGCAU